rnacentral:rRNA from 1 species
UACGUAGGGGGGCAAGCGUUGUUCGGAAUUACUGGGCGUAAAGGGCGCGUAGGCGGUACGACAAGUCGGGAGUGAAAGCCCGGGGCUCAACCCCGGGACUGCUUUCGAAACUGUCGAACUUGAGUGCAGAAGAGGCAACUGGAAUUCCCAGUGUAGCGGUGAAAUGCGUAGAUAUUGGGAAGAACACCUGAGGCGAAGGCGGGUUGCUGGGCUGACACUGACGCUGAGGCGCGAAAGCCAGGGGAGCGAACGGG